CCCGAUCACAGUCUGAAAUUUGAAGCUCCAUAAUCUUACUACAACAUUAACACAUACGUAUAAACCCAACCCUCUGCUGCUGCUAUGCCCCCAAAGACUAUUUGAUUCUGCAAACAAAAUUUUAUACGGCAAAACGAAACAUGGAAUUGUUUGAUAACAUGUUCGGAAUGAUGUUGGAGGGGAAUGAGAACUUUAAAUGUCAUGGCAAAGAUAAUGAAAUGAGAUAGUUCAUUACACAAAAUCUACAAUUUCCAAAAUGCCGUCGAGUUUAUGAAAAAAUCUAAAAAACUGUCUUGAAUGUUUG
rnacentral:lncRNA from 1 species